UACGUAGGGUGCGAGCGUUAAUCGGAAUUACUGGGCGUAAAGCGUGCGCAGGCGGUUCGUUGUGUCCGUCGUGAAAGCCCCGGGCUUAACCUGGGAAUGGCAUUGGAAACUGGCGGGCUUGAGUGCGGCAGAGGGGGGUGGAAUUCCGCGUGUAGCAGUGAAAUGCGUAGAGAUGCGGAGGAACACCGAUGGCGAAGGCAGCCCCCUGGGUCGACACUGACGCUCAGGCACGAAAGCGUGGGGAGCAAACAGG
rnacentral:rRNA from 1 species